AACGAACGUUAGCGGCGCGCUUAACACAUGCAAGUCGAACGAGAAAGCACCUUCGGGUGUGAGUACAGUGGCGCACGGGUGAGUAACACGUGGGUAAUUUACCUUCUGGUGGGGGACAACAACUCGAAAGGGUUGCUAAUACCGCAUGAGUCCACGCAAGUGGGGAAAGGCGGCUUCGGCUGUCGCCAGAAGAUGAGUCCGCGGCCCAUCAGCUAGUUGGUAGGGUAAUGGCCUACCAAGGCUCCGACGGGUAGCUGGUCUGAGAGGAUGAUCAGCCACACUGGAACUGAGACACGGUCCAGACUCCUACGGGUGGCUG
rnacentral:rRNA from 1 species